rnacentral:lncRNA from 1 species
GUUGCUAACUGUUGUGUUUGAAUCAGAAUUGCAUACUUUCCUACAACUGCUGCUGCUGCUGCUGCUGCUACUACUACAGCAAACACAUAAAUACAUCUUUAAUUAAUGGCUCAAAAGGGGAGCAAGAAAGGGCAGGACAAAUCUCUCCUGCUGCAGUUUCGCCCUCCCUAGUUACCAUCUCCAUCUGUACUCUACUCUGUCUUUGCUCUAAUUGGUGCAAUUGGACGGCAGUUCUUAAUACUAGUAAACCCAAGCAUGCAUAUUACAAACCAAAGGAGUUGACAGUAAAAGAAACCAUUGAUUUAGGAAGGUGGUGAAUCCUUUCCACUGUGUUGAAUCUCGGAAAGUAUUAAAGAAUCCCACAAAGAAAAAACAAGGUAGUAAAAAGGAAGGAAUGAUAUUGAGGUUCAAAAUCUUCUUUGGACUUGUGGGCUGUGGCAGCACUGGUAGCAGAGUCUACGCUUUGAAAGC